UACGUAGGCAGCGAGCGUUGUUCGGAAUUACUGGGCGUAAAGAGUGUGUAGGCGGCGCUCUAAGUUCGGUGUGAAAUCUCUCGGCUUAACUGGGAGGGUGCGCCGGAAACUGGAGUGCUCGAACGUGGGAGAGGAAAGCGGAAUUCCUGGUGUAGCGGUGAAAUGCGUAGAUAUCAGGAGGAACACCUGUGGUGUAGACAGCUUUCUGGACCAUUGCUGACGCUGAGACACGAAAGCGUGGGUAGCAAACAGG
rnacentral:rRNA from 1 species